CGUGUAGGCGGCCCGGUAAGUCCGCUGUGAAAGUCGGGGGCUCAACCCUCGAAAGCCGGUGGAUACUGUUGGGCUUGAGUACGGAAGAGGCGAGUGGAAUUCCUGGUGUAGCGGUAGAAAUGCGCAGAUAUCAGGAGGAACACCGAUUGCGAAGGCAGCUCGCUGGGACGUAACUGACGCUGAGACGCGAAAGCGUGGGAGCAAACA
rnacentral:rRNA from 1 species